rnacentral:rRNA from 1 species
UACAGAGGGUGCUAGCGUUGUUCGGAAUUAUUGGGCGUAAAGGGCGCGUAGGCGCCCUGUGUGUCGGGUGUGAAAGCCCACCUCUUAAAGGUGGAAUUGCAUUCGAAACUACAGGGCUGGAGUGUCGGAGAGGAUGGCGGAAUUCCUGGUGUAGAGGUGAAAUUCGUAGAUAUCAGGAGGAACACCGAUGGCGAAGGCAGAUCUCUGGGCCGUAACUGACGCUGAGGAGGCGAAAGCAUGGGGAGCCGAACAGG